rnacentral:rRNA from 1 species
CCUACGGGAGGCUGCAGUGAGGAAUAUUGGUCAAUGGCCGGAAGCCUGAACCAGCCAAGCCGCGUGAGGGACGAAGGUGCCAAGCAUUGUAAACUUCUUUUGUCAAGGGACAAAAUCAGGCUCGAGAGCCUGCCCGAGGGUACUUGAAGAAAAAGCAUCGGCCAAAGUCGUGCCAGCAGCCGCGGUUAUACGGGGGAUGCGAGCGUUUACCGGAUUUAUUGGGUUUAAAGGGUGCGUAGGCGGGCUGUUAAGUUAGCGGUAAGAGGCCGGGGCUCAACCCCGGCUAGCCGUUGAAACUGGCUGUCUUGAGAUGACGAGAGGUAGGCGGAAUGCGUAGUGUAGCGGUGAAAUGCUUAGAUAU